GACAGAGGGUGCAAACGUUGUUCGGAAUUACUGGGCGUAAAGCGCAUGUAGGCGGCCCGGCAGGUCGGAUGUGAAAUCCCUCGGCUCAACCAAGGAAGUGCAUUCGAAACCGCCAGGCUCGAGUCCCGGAGAGGAUGGUGGAAUUCUCGGUGUAGAGGUGAAAUUCGUAGAUAUCGAGAGGAACACCAGUGGCGAAGGCGAGUCCCUGGACAGGUCCUGACGCUGAGGCACGAAAGCUAGGGGAGCAAACAGG
rnacentral:rRNA from 1 species